rnacentral:rRNA from 1 species
GAAUAUUGCACAAUGGGCGAAAGCCUGAUGCAGCGACGCCGCGUGAGGGAUGACGGCCUUCGGGUUGUAAACCUCUUUCAGUAGGGAAGAAGCGAAAGUGACGGUACCUGCAGAAGAAGCGCCGGCUAACUACGUCCCAGCAGCCGCGGUAAUACGUAGGGCGCAAGCGUUAUCCGGAAUUAUUGGGCGUAAAGAGCUCGUAGGCGGUUUGUCGCGUCUAUCGUGAAAGUCCGAGGCUCAACUUCGGAUCUGCGGUGGGUACGGGCAGACUAGAGUGAUGUAGGGGAGAGUGGAAUUCCUGGUGUAGCGGUGAAAUGCGCAGAUAUCAGGAGGAACACCGAUGGCGAAGGCAGGUCUCUGGGCAUUAACUGACGCUGAGGAGCGAAAGCAUGGGGAGCGAACAGGA